rnacentral:ncRNA from 1 species
GUCUAAGUCCUUAACUGGACUACGUUAUUAAGGUGAUGACACCUACGGAUACUCCUCAAGUCUGUAGCCCUGUCGCUUCUUAGAGUCAUGGGAUAGUGUUACUAGCUGAACAAGCCUUGAUAACCUUGAC